rnacentral:tRNA from 1 species
GCCCUGGUAGUCCAAUCGGCAGAGACAAGCGACUUAAAAUCGCUCCGGUGUGGGUUCGAAUCCCACCCAGGGCA